rnacentral:rRNA from 1 species
AGCGAACGCUGGCGGCAGGCCUAACACAUGCAAGUCGAACGGACCCUUCGGGGUUAGUGGCGGACGGGUGAGUAACACGUGGGAACGUGCCUUUUGGUUCGGAAUAGCUCCUGGAAACGGGUGGUAAUGCCGAAUGUGCCCUUUGGGGGAAAGAUUUAUCGCCAUUAGAGCGGCCCGCGUCUGAUAAGCUAGUUGGUGAGGUAAAGGCUCACCAAGGCGACGAUCAGUAGCUGGUCUGAGAGGAUGACCAGCCACAUUGGGACUGAGACACGGCCCAAACUCCUCCGGGAGGCAGCAGUGGGGAAUCUUGCGCAAUGGGCGAAAGCCUGACGCAGCCAUGCCGCGUGAAUGAUGAAGGUCUUAGGAUUGUAAAAUUCUUUCACCGGGGACGAUAAUGACGGUACCCGGAGAAGAAGCCCCGGCUAACUUCGUGCCAGCCGCCGCAGUAAUAC